ACAAUGGAGAGUUUGAUCCUGGCUCAGGAUGAACGCUAGCGGCAGGCUUAACACAUGCAAGUCGUGGGGCAGCGCGGGGUAGCAAUACUCUGGCGGCGACCGGCAAACGGGUGCGGAACACGUACGCAACCUU
rnacentral:rRNA from 1 species